AUGUGUCCUUAUCAAGGUAAAUACUCAGGUACUGUAGACACCAUGUGUCCUUAUCAAGGUAAAUACUCAGGUACUGUAGACACCAUGUGUCCUCAUAUCAAGGUAAAUACUCAGGUACUGUAGACACCAUGUGUCCUCAUCAAGGUAAAUACUCAGGUACUGUAGACACCAUGUGUCCUCAUCAAGGUAAAUACUCAGGUACUGUAGACACCAUGUGUCCUCAUCAAGGUAAAUACUCAGGUACUGUAGACACCAUGUGUCCUCAUCAAGGUAAAUACUCAGGUACUGUAGACACCAUGUGUCCUCAUCAAGGUAAAUACUCAGGUACUGUAGACACCAUGUGUCCUCAUCAAGGUAAAUACUCAGGUACUGUAGACACCAUGUGUCCUCAUAUCAAGGUAAAUACUCAGGUACUGUAGACACCAUGUGUCCUUAUCAAGGUAAAUACUCAGGUACUGUAGAUACCAUGUGUCCUCAUCAAGGUAAAUACUCAGGUACUGUAGACACCAUGUGUCCUCAUCAAGGUAAAUACUCAGGUACUGUAGACACCAUGUGUCCUCAUCAAGGUAAAUACUCAGGUACUGUAGACAC